AUGAACGCUAGCUACAGGCUUAACACAUGCAAGUCGAGGGGCAGCAUGGUCUUAGCUUGCUAAGGCCGAUGGCGACCGGCGCACGGGUGAGUAACACGUAUCCAACCUGCCGUCUACUCUUGGACAGCCUUCUGAAAGGAAGAUUAAUACAAGAUGGCAUCAUGAGUCCGCAUGUUCACAUGAUUAAAGGUAUUCCGGUAGACGAUGGGGAUGCGUUCCAUUAGAUAGUAGGCGGGGUAACGGCCCACCUAGUCUUCGAUGGAUAGGGGUUCUGAGAGGAAGGUCCCCCACAUUGGAACUGAGACACGGUCCAAACUCCUACGGGAGGCAGCAGUGAGGAAUAUUGGUCAAUGGGCGAGAGCCUGAACCAGCCAAGUAGCGUGAAGGAUGACUGCCCUAUGGGUUGUAAACUUCUUUUAUAAAGGAAUAAAGUCGGGUAUGCAUACCCGUUUGCAUGUACUUUAUGAAUAAGGAUCGGCUAACUCCGUGCCAGCAGCCGCGGUAAUACGUAGGUCCCGAGCGUUGUCCGGAUUUAUUGGGCGUAAAGCGAGCGCAGGCGGUUUGAUAAGUCUGAAGUUAAAGGCUGUGGCUCAACCAUAGUUCGCUUUGGAAACUGUCAAACUUGAGUGCAGAAGGGGAGAGUGGAAUUCCAUGUGUAGCGGUGAAAUGCGUAGAUAUAUGGAGGAACACCGGUGGCGAAAGCGGCUCUCUGGUCUGUAACUGACGCUGAGGCUCGAAAGUGUGGGUAUCAAACAGGAUUAGAUACCCUGGUAGUCCACACGGUAAACGAUGAAUACUCGCUGUUUGCGAUAUACAGCAAGCGGCCAAGCGAAAGCGUUAAGUAUUCCACCUGGGGAGUACGCCGGCAACGGUGAAACUCAAAGGAAUUGACGGGGGCCCGCACAAGCGGAGGAACAUGUGGUUUAAUUCGAUGAUACGCGAGGAACCUUACCCGGGCUUAAAUUGCAGAUGAAUUACGGUGAAAGCCGUAAGCCGCAAGGCAUCUGUGAAGGUGCUGCAUGGUUGUCGUCAGCUCGUGUCGUGAGAUGUUGGGUUAAGUCCCGCAACGAGCGCAACCCUUAUCCUCAGUAGCCAGCAGGUAAAGCUGGGCACUCUGUGGAGACUGCCAGGGAUAACCUGGAGGAAGGUGGGGAUGACGUCAAAUCAUCAUGCCCUUUAUGUCCUGGGCUACACACGUACUACAAUGGGUGUCAACAAAGAGAAGCAAUGGGGCGACCCGGAGCAAACCUCAAAAACACACCCCCAGUUCAGAUUGCAGGCUGCAACCCGCCUGCAUGAAGCAGGAAUCGCUAGUAAUCGCGGGUCAGCAUACCGCGGUGAAUACGUUCCCGGGCCUUGUACACACCGCCCGUCACACUAUGAGAGUCAGAAACACCCGAAGCCGGUGAGGUAACCGUAAGGAGCCAGCCGUCGAAGGCGGAGCUGAUGAUUGGAGUG
rnacentral:rRNA from 1 species